AUGGAAAAUUCAGCAUUGCAACAUCUGUCAAAAUACAACUCUUUGCAAGCAUUACAACUUUGUUUACACAGAAUAUCAUUUCCGUUGAAACCAAAGCAUUUACAUCAUCUGAGAUACCUAGAUCUCUCAAGAAGUUGUAUCAAAGCACUUCCCGAUGAUAUAAGCAUUAUGUACAACCUGCAAACUCUGAACCUCUCUGGUUGCAUAUAUCUUGGUGGACUUCCAAGACAACUGAAGUAUAUGACGACGCUCCGUCACCUUUACACUCAUGGUUGCUCACAGCUGAAGAGCAUGCCUAGAGAGCUCGGAAAGCUCACAUGCCUACAGACACUUACAUGCUUUGUAGCAGGCAGUGAGCCUGAUUGUAGUAAUGUUGGAGAGCUUGGGAAAUUAAACCUUGGUGGUCAACUAGAGCUACAGAAUCUAGAGAACGUCACAGCAAAAGAUGCAGCAGUGGCAAACCUCGUGAACAAGGAACUAAGAGAUCUGACAUUAAGAUGGUCUGCUGGAGAGACUGAAGAUGAUUCAAGAGUGCUCGAGAAUCUCAAACCUCAUGAUGGGUUGCAUGCUAUAAGGAUACACUUCUAUGGAUCCACCACGUUCCCAACAUGGGUGGCUAUGUUACAAAACAUUGUUGAGAUCCAUCUUUUUGAUUGUAGAAAACUACAAUGGUUGUUCAGCCAUGACUGUGAUACAACCUUCGCAUUUCCAAAACUAAAGCAUCUUACAUUGGAAGGUCUUGUCUGUUUGGAGAGAUGGUGGGAAAUAGGUAAUGGUGGGAUGCAAGAAGAGAUCAUGUUUCCUCUGCUUGAGAAGUUGCUUAUUGAGGACUGUAAAAAGUUGACAGCACUGCCAGGACAACCGACCUUCCCUAACCUCCAGGAGGCCAUUAUUCUGGAUUGUCCAAGGUUGACAACUGUAGCUAAAUCACCAAAGCUCAGUUUAUUACUCAUCGCAGGACGUGAGGACCAGUUGUUGCUAUGGGUAGCUAGACAUAUGACUUCAUUGGCCGAGCUGACACUGUUUUGCCGUAAGGACAAUACAGAAACAACCCUGGCGGCGGCUGAGGAUGGUUUUAAGGAAGUGGUGGACGGUAAGGAAGAAUGGAAUGGUCAUGAUCUCCCUCUUGCAGUUUUGAAAUUAUGUCACUUUAAAUCAGUUCUACCAGGGAUGUUUGCAUGUUUCGUACACCUUCAAGAUUUAUCAAUUAUGUCAUGUGAUGCGCUCGUUCACUGGCCAGAAAGAGAGUUCCAAGCAUUGGUAUCCUUGAAGAGGCUUGAGAUCAAGUAUUGCAGUAAUCUGACUGGAUAUGCACCUGCCGAGCCAUCAACAUCAGCAGAAACGAGUCAGCUCCUGCCAUGUCUAGAGUAUAUGUAUAUAUCUGAUUGCAACAGCUUGGUUGAGGUCUUCAACAUCUCUGCAUCUCUCAGGUAUAUUGAAAUUUGUUGUUGCAGUAAGCUUGAGUCCCCAUUCGGCAGGAGGCUGCAGCAGGGUCAGUUAGCACCAUGGAUUCAUCAAGGGUCAUCUAGUGUACUGGAGGUGUCAUCAUCAUCAUCACCCAGAGCGGGGCCGAAGCAUUUACAAGUAAAUUUACACAGGUGUGCUGGCUUAACAGGGCUCCUCCAUCUUCCCCCGUCCCUCAAGCGAAUAGCAAUUUCUUAUUGUGAUGGGUUGACGUCUCUGGAAGCUCCCUCAGGAGUGCUCUCAUGGCUGGAGAGCCUUCAGCUUUAUGAAUGCAAUACCCUAUCAUCCCUACCGGAUGCUCAAGCAUACUCAUCUCUCCGAUGUCUUGACAUUGACGACUGCCCUGGUCUGAAAACGCUCCCUGCAAGCCUGCAGCAACGACUGGGCAGCCUCGAGUGGGAAAGAAUAGAUGCCCAUCAUUAUGGAAAUAAGCCUGUGCUGCUGAAACCCAAGACAUGGAAAUAUGCCAUCCGUAAAGACUAG
rnacentral:rRNA from 1 species